CUGGCUGGUAAUUUUCAGAGUGGGGUAGAGACACUGAUAAUCCCUCACACUACUGUCUAGUUAAUAUUUUUAAGAUUUGAGAGAAAGAGAGAGAGAGAGUGUGUGUGUGUGUGUGUGUGGGUGGGUGGAUGGGUGGGUGGCAGGGGCAGAGGGAGAGGCGGAGAAAGAAUCCUCAAGCAGACUCUCCACUGAGCGUGGAGCCUGACGUGGGGCUCGAUUCCAGGACCCAGAGAUCAUGACCUAAGCCGAAAUUUAGAGUUGGCUGCUUCACCAACUCUGCCACCCAGGUGCCUCUGUCUGGUUAAUAUUUAAUGUGAAGACUCAACAAGUAUUUUUGACCAAAGCAGAAUGGGAAUGGCAAGACUUCUCACCCUUGGCCACAGGCAAUACCGAACUAAUCUCUAAAGAUCUUUCAAGGAUCCCCUUAAAAAGAUGUGCAUGUCAACCUCAGUUAAGAAUCAGAUCCAUAAAUACCUAUUAAACAGGGUGAGGGACACAUCCCAGAAUUGCAAUGAACUCCUGGCUUGCUAUGGACCUGGUCAGAGGCAGCUCCAUGAGGGGAGGAAAUGAGUCACAAUCACCUUGGAAUCCUCACACUCACCAUUGUGUCUGGUACAUACUAUGUAUGUGAUCAAUCUUGCAAAAAUGAAGGAAGACCUUAUUUAGGUGUCUGCCCAGCCAAGGAUGCCCAGAGCAGAUGUCCUCCGCAUGCACCAGUCCACCGCGCUGAUAAACUCCAGAAAGACGCAAGGCCCACCUUAGCCAGUUUACACACAUGGUGUCUGAUCUUUGCAAAACCUGGCUUCCCUGACCAUUACCUUCCUUCUUCACAGGGUUUCAGGGUCAAUGAAGAAACUGAGGCAGAGCCAGGAAGGGGCGCUGCUGAGCAAGGCUGUCUGGCAGCAGAAUCUGGUUUCUUCAUCAGUCUUUACUCUGCUAAUCACCCCACACAAAACAUUAGUCAUCAAGCUAACUUCCAAGCCAAAGACUGGAGACCAUGACAAGUUCCUCGGGAUAAAACAGUUGUUCAAUAAACACUGUGAGCAAUGAAAGAAAACA
rnacentral:lncRNA from 1 species